rnacentral:rRNA from 1 species
UGCCUACGGGGGGCAGCAGUGGGGAAUAUUGCACAAUGGGGGAAACCCUGAUGCAGCGACGCCGCGUGAGUGAAGAAGUAUUUCGGUAUGUAAAGCUCUAUCAGCAGGGAAGAAAAUGACGGUACCUGACUAAGAAGCCCCGGCUAACUACGUGCCAGCAGCCGCGGUAAUACGUAUGGGGCAAGCGUUAUCCGGAUUCACUGGGUGUAAAGGGAGCGUAGGCGGCCUGGCAAGCCUGAUGUGAAAUACCGGGGCCCAACCCCGGGGCUGCAUUGGGAACUGCCAGGUUGGAGUGCCGGAGAGGG